AAUGGGUGUGAGCUCAUUGUGAGUGAGGACCCUUCAAGUUUAGGCCCUGAUGCCAGACAAUGAAAUUACCACAAGAAUUGGGAGGAUUGGGAGGAGCAAUUCUUUUUUUAAAUUGCUUUGUUGUUGUUGUUGUUGUGUUUGUUUUUAAUCUUUCCCCGAUUCUGUUUUAUAAUUAUAUUAUUUUUAUUGUUCGAGAAAUUCAUUCAAGCACUUGCUAUGUUCUGAUGAAGUCCAAUCCCCAGCUCCUCCUUUCCAGUCCCUCUCCCGUCCCACCAGUCUUCAGCUUGCUUUAUCCAUGCCAGUGACUCAGGGCUAUGCCACCAUGUGUUUAUCAGGACCCUGGUGAACUCCUGGGAUGCUCUUUUCUAAAGAUGCAGAACAUAAACAUCAAGUAAACCAAGGCAGUGAAGUUGAGAGGCUUCGCACCCUGACACCUUGGAGUCACCUUUGAGGUUAUUCUGGAGCUGUGGACCUAUGACAGCGACGGUGUGUCUACAAUCUAAUGGGAAAAAGAAACAGCUAAGAAUGCAUUUUAGGGGUUACUCUUGCUAUGCACGGUGCAUCUGUGAAAGAGCUGUGGGAUAAGACAAGGGGUAUGAGGGGAUAGGGGCAUCUUCGGUGACCUGUCGAAGAUGAGCUACCGCCCACAUGGAAGAGCAGUGGGGCUGCUGGGAAGCAGAGGUGCCACGGGACAGGACAGCAGUUCUCCCAGGGGAGGCACUAAUGGAGUAUGUAACCACACUUGUCUUCCUUCAGAGAUUUUGCUUGUCAAUCAAAACAAACUGAACCACAGCCUAUUAAGAAAGACAUCAGGGUUGCUUUGUGAGGACAGUGAUUGUUUAGAAUAAAACAUUAUCCACAACUUUGUGCAUGUGAGGCAAGUGACUGAGCUAUAACCCAUACACAUUUUUAUUUUAUUUUUUAAAUUGUGAGACAGGAUCUCUGUGAAUUAUUUACACAGGACCUCACUUUGUUGUCCACUUGGGCCCUGAUCUCAAGAUCACUGUGCCUCACCCUCUAAGCAAUCCCAAGCCACCAGGAUCUGUGAAGCAACAUGCUCAGAAAUCAACCCUGCUCCAAAGAAGCUUUUAGUCUUUAGUCUCAAGAUAGGCAGAAUCACCUUGCAAUACAGAGUCAAAUGUUAUUGUCUACUGAUGCUCCUCCCAUCCUUGAGUUCACUGGACAGUGAUGAGGGCUCAGCUGGAUGCUCAGAGUGAGGGAUAGUAAGAUGCAAUUUUGUAGAAGAUUGACUUAAGAUGGCAGCCGCUGACUGCAACCCCAAGACUGGAGAGAUCCAUGGCGGAUCCAAGCAAAAUGUGACAUUGGAAGAAAAGAUGGAGGAACAGAGCCAUAUGCAGCAGAAAAAUGUCAAAACUAUGGAAUGGGAACGAGGCCAUAAGAGACAAAGAGCAUCUCCUUACUGAAUUCGACCAGUCCUAGAGCCAGCCACUGCUUGCCCUGCUGAAACAGAGAGCAUGGAGCAGCAAAGCUGCCCCACUGAGGGAGAGGACAACUGGUAUUCCGUAGCCUGGAGCUCUCUUGGAAACAUGGCAUUACUGAAUAGGGUUCAUCUUCAUCUCACCAACCAACCCACAGCAUGGAGCUACUGCUCCUGUGGACCCUGCUAGGGAGGAAGGGCCCCAGCACUGCCCACAGGUUACAAGCACGUUGGUCUUACCUGGCAAGCCACAAGACAUCAAGCACCAAGGGCAAGGAAUGUGUAGCAGCUAGGAGUGCACAAGGACCUGCUCUCAACACCCUGCCUAGCUACAAGAUCGCCCAGACUCUGGGCAACAGCAAGGUAUCUGGGAUAUCAGGAAUGGUGCACCAUUUAUGGUGCUUCCGAAAUCACAAACUUUGAAAAAACAAAUGUUUCAUUGCAAUGAGUUAUUUGCUUAUAAUGCUGUUUGGGAAAAAAUAUACUGUGUGACACACUGCCGAUGACAACAUCACUUCCAACAAACAAAUAAAUUUUGGAGGAUUGGGAAGGGGGAAUGGAAUGGUGAGUGUGUGGUGGAAGGCAGUGACAGGCAUGGGAGAAGGCUUCAGUAGACAGGGAGCAUGUUACUGCCAAGUAAGGCCAGCAGGGCAGAGCUCUUGAAGGCUAUGCCCAAACUUGCUGUUCAGUGGCAUGGUCCCCCUGGCUAUGAGCAACAACAGGAUGUCUGUGAUGGAGAACAGUUCUUUUUGUUGGUUGGGUCUCCUUGAAAGACCUCCAUGGUCUGUGCUGCCACAGGAGGUCCUGUUGAUGUCUGUGGUCCAUAUUACAUCCCAGAAUGAGCUGAUAUACUUGGCCUAUGCUGCCUUUCCAGACCAUGUUGAUGCCUAUGGUCCAUAUGGUUUGUGCUGCCACCGAAAGCCAUGUUGGUAUCUGUGAUCUGUGCUGUUGAUGGAGGCCAUGUUGAAUUCUGUGCUACCGUGUAGUUCAUGUCAAUGUCCAUUGUCCCUGUAGCCAUCAGAGGCCAUGUUGGUUUCUUCUGUAAUGGUACUGCCUGAGACCAUGCUGAUCUUCAUUGUUUGUUUUACCAAUAGAGGACAAGUAGAUAUCCAUUUGGGGCAUAUUGAUAUCUCUAGCCCUUGUUGCCACCAAGGGACAUGUUGGUGUUUGUGGUCCUGCUGUGGUCAGGGGAUGUGUUGAUGUCCAUGGUCUCUCUUACCACUGGUGGCCAUGUGGAUGUUCCCAGUCUGUAUUGCCACUUGAGACAAUGCUGAUGUCCAUGGCCCAUGAUGUAGCCCGAAAUCAUAUGGAAGUUGGUGACUCAUGCUGCUGCCAACUGUAAAGGGCAAAGUAGCUUCAUUUGCAGUGGUAUUGGUGACUGGAGACUCACAGUUGAGAAAGAAACACAGAAGGCUUCUGUGACAACCUCUCCUCCUCCCCACCCCCACCUACAUCCCCCAAAAGAAACUCUGGACAGGAAGUCAUUGAAGAGAACUCUUAAAACUGUGAUAGAGAUGCUGAAUUUUAGUUCUUCAUGGUUGAUGGCUUCUGGUGGGGAGUGAGGGUGAGGAAAGACUCAAUUUUCUUUAAGAGGAUGGUCACUGGGAGUUUAACUUGGUUUCUUCUUCUUCUUCUUCUUCUUCUUCUUCUUCUUCUUCUUCUUCUUCUUCUUCUUCUUC
rnacentral:lncRNA from 1 species